rnacentral:rRNA from 1 species
AGAGUUUGAUCCUGGCUCAGGAUGAACGCUGGCGGCGUGCUUAACACAUGCAAGUCGAACGAUGAAGGGAGCUUGCUCCUGGAUUAGUGGCGAACGGGUGAGUAACACGUGAGUAACCUGCCCUUAACUCUGGGAUAAGCCUGGGAAACUGGGUCUAAUACCGGAUAUGACUGAUCAUCGCAUGGUGGUUGGUGGAAAGCUUUUUGUGGUUUUGGAUGGACUCGCGGCCUAUCAGCUUGUUGGUGAGGUAAUGGCUCACCAAGGCGACGACGGGUAGCCGGCCUGAGAGGGUGACCGGCCACACUGGGACUGAGACACGGCCCAGACUCCUACGGGAGGCAGCAGUGGGGAAUAUUGCACAAUGGGCGCAAGCCUGAUGCAGCGACGCCGCGUGAGGGAUGACGGCCUUCGGGUUGUAAACCUCUUUCAGUAGGGAAGAAGCGAAAGUGACGGUACCUGCAGAAGAAGCGCCGGCUAACUACGUGCCAGCAGCCGCGGUAAUACGUAGGGCGCAAGCGUUAUCCGGAAUUAUUGGGCGUAAAGAGCUCGUAGGCGGUUUGUCGCGUCUGCCGUGAAAGUCCGGGGCUCAACUCCGGAUCUGCGGUGGGUACGGGCAGACUAGAGUGAUGUAGGGGAGACUGGAAUUCCUGGUGUAGCGGUGAAAUGCGCAGAUAUCAGGAGGAACACCGAUGGCGAAGGCAGGUCUCUGGGCAUUAACUGACGCUGAGGAGCGAAAGCAUGGGGAGCGAACAGGAUUAGAUACCCUGGUAGUCCAUGCCGUAAACGUUGGGCACUAGGUGUGGGGGACAUUCCACGUUUUCCGCGCCGUAGCUAACGCAUUAAGUGCCCCGCCUGGGAG